UACGAGGGGGGCAAGCGUUGUUCGGAAUUAUUGGGCGUAACGGGCGCGUAGGCGGCGCCGCAAGUCACUUGUGACAACUCUGGGCUCAACUCAGAGCCUGCAAGCGAAACUGUGGUGCUGGAGUAUGGGAGAGGUGCGUGGAAUUCCCGGUGUAGCGGUGAAAUGCGUAGAGAUCGGGAGGAACACCGGUGGCGAAAGCGGCGCACUGGACCACUACUGACGCUGAGGCGCGAAAGCUAGGGGAGCAAACAGG
rnacentral:rRNA from 1 species